rnacentral:rRNA from 1 species
GACGAACGCUGGCGGCGUGCUUAGCACAUGCAAGUCGAACGGAAAGGCCUCUUUCGGGGGGUCCUCGGGUGGCGAACGGGUGGGUAACACGUGAGUAACCUGCCCUUGACUUUGGGAUAACUUCAGGCAACUGGGGCUAAUACCGGAUAGCAGAUCCUGCUGCCUGGUGGGGGUUGGAAAGUUUCGGCGGUUGGGGGUGGACUCGCGGCGUAGACGCUUGUUGGGGGGGGAGGGGCUUACCAAGGCCUUGGCGGGUAGCCGGCCUGUGAGGGUGAGCGGCGACAUUGGGACUGAGAUACGGCCCAGACGCCGACGGGAGGCAGCAGGGGGGAAGCUUGCACAAGCGGUGGAGGCCGGAUGCAGCAACGCUGUGGGCUGGAUGACCGCUUUCGGGUGGUAAACCGCUUUCGCUCAUGACGAAGCCUUGUGUGACGGUAGUGGGUAAAGAAGCACCGGCUAACUACGUG